rnacentral:rRNA from 1 species
UACCCUUAGGAAAAGAAAUCAAUUGAGAUUCCCUCAGUAGCGGCGAGCGAACGGGGAUCAGCCCAUUAAGUUAUGUGUGUUUUAGUGGAACGCUCUGGGAAGUGCGAACGUAGAGGGUGAUAUUCCCGUACACGAAAGGGCACACAUAAUGAUGACGAGUAGGGCGAGGCACGUGAAACCUUGUCUGAAUAUGGGGGGACCAUCCUCCAAGGCUAAAUACUCCUGACUGACCGAUAGUGAACCAGUACCGUGAGGGAAAGGCGAAAAGAACCCCUGUGAGGGGAGUGAAAUAGAUCCUGAAACCGCAUGCAUACAAGCAGUGGGAGCACCUUCGUGGUGUGACUGCGUACCUUUUGUAUAAUGGGUCAGCGACUUAUAUUCAGUAGCGAGGUUAACCGUAUAGGGGAGCCGUAGAGAAAUCGAGUCUUAAUAGGGCGUUUAGUUGCUGGGUAUAGACCCGAAACCAGGCGAUCUAUCCAUGAGCAGGUUGAAGGUUGGGUAACACUAACUGGAGGACCGAACCCACUGUCGUUGAAAAGCCAGGGGAUGACUUGUGGAUAGGGGUGAAAGGCUAAUCAAGCCUGGUGAUAGCUGGUUCUCCCCGAAAGCUAUUUAGGUAGCGCCUCGGACGAAUACCAUAGGGGGUAGAGCACUGUUUCGGCUAGGGGGUCAUCCCGACUUACCAAACCGAUGCAAACUCCGAAUACCUAUGAGUACUAUCCGGGAGACAGACUGCGGGUGCUAACGUCCGUAGUCAAGAGGAAAACAAUCCAGACCGCCAGCUAAGGCCCCAAAAUCAUAGUUAAGUGGGAAACGAUGUGGGAAGGCAUAGACAGCUAGGAGGUUGGCUUAGAAGCAGCCACCCUUUAAAGAAAGCGUAAUAGCUCACUAGUCGAGUCGGCCUGCGCGGAAGAUGUAACGGGGCUAAAACUAUGUGCCGAAGCUGCGGAUGUAUACUUUGUAUACGUGGUAGGGGAGCGUUCUGUAAGCCGAUGAAGGUGUGUUGAGAAGCAUGCUGGAGGUAUCAGAAGUGCGAAUGCUGACGUGAGUAACGACAAAACGGGUGAAAAACCCGUUCGCCGAAAGACCAAGGGUUCCAGUCCAACGUUAAUCGGGGCUGGGUGAGUCGACCCCUAAGGCGAGGCCGAAAGGCGUAGUCGAUGGGAAAAUGGUUAAUAUUCCAUUACUUCUGUGUAAUGCGAUGAGAGGACGGAGAAGGCUAAAUCAGCCUGGCGUUGGUUGUCCAGGUGAAAGGAUGUAGGCAUGUAUCUUAGGCAAAUCCGGGGUACUCUAUGCUGAGAUCUGAUAGCAAGCUGUACUUGUACAGCGAAGUGGUUGAUGCCAUGCUUCCAGGAAAAGUCUCUAAGCUUCAGUUACACAGGAAUCGUACCCGAAACCGACACAGGUGGUCAGGUCGAGUAGACCAAGGCGCUUGAGAGAACUCUGCUGAAGGAACUAGGCAAAAUGGUACCGUAACUUCGGGAGAAGGUACGCUGUUGUUGGUGAUGGAACUCGCUUCCUGAGCUGACGACAGCCGCAGAAACCAGGCCGCUGCAACUGUUUAUUAAAAACAUAGCACUCUGCAAACACGAAAGUGGACGUAUAGGGUGUGAUGCCUGCCCGGUGCUGGAAGGUUAAUUGAUGGGGUUAGCGUAAGCGAAGCUCUUGAUCGAAGCCCCAGUAAACGGCGGCCGUAACUAUAACGGUCCUAAGGUAGCGAAAUUCCUUGUCGGGUAAGUUCCGACCUGCACGAAUGGCAUAAUGAUGGCGGCGCUGUCUCCAGCAGAGGCUCAGUGAAAUCGAAAUCGCUGUGAAGAUGCAGUGUACCCGCGGCUAGACGGAAAGACCCCGUGAACCUUUACUGCAGCUUGACACUGAACUUUGACCUUACUUGUGUAGGAUAGGUGGGAGGCUUUGAAGCUGGAACGCUAGUUCCAGUGGAGCCGUCCUUGAAAUACCACCCUGGUAAUGUUGAGGUUCUAACUCUGUCCCGUGAUCCGGGACGAGGACCGUGUCUGGUGGGUAGUUUGACUGGGGCGGUCUCCUCCUAAAGAGUAACGGAGGAGUACGAAGGUGCGCUCAGCGUGGUCGGAAAUCACGCGUAGAGUAUAAAGGCAAAAGCGCGCUUAACUGCGAGACCCACAAGUCGAGCAGGUACGAAAGUAGGUCUUAGUGAUCCGGUGGUUCUGUAUGGAAGGGCCAUCGCUCAACGGAUAAAAGGUACUCUGGGGAUAACAGGCUGAUACCGCCCAAGAGUUCAUAUCGACGGCGGUGUUUGGCACCUCGAUGUCGGCUCAUCUCAUCCUGGGGCUGAAGCAGGUCCCAAGGGUAUGGCUGUUCGCCAUUUAAAGAGGUACGCGAGCUGGGUUUAGAACGUCGUGAGACAGUUCGGUCCCUAUCUACCGUGGGCGCUGGAAAUUUGAGAGGAUCUGCUCCUAGUACGAGAGGACCAGAGUGGACGAACCUCUGGUGUACCGGUUGUGACGCCAGUCGCAUCGCCGGGUAGCUAUGUUCGGAAGGGAUAACCGCUGAAAGCAUCUAAGCGGGAAGCCUACCUCAAGAUAAGAUUUCCCUAGGACUUUAUGUCCUCUAAAGAGCCGUUCGAGACUAGGACGUUGAUAGGUUGGAUGUGGAAGCAUAGUGAUAUGUGAAGCUGACCAAUACUAAUUGCUCGUGAGGCUUGACUA